UAGCUGAGAUUCAAUAUUCUCUGUGGGGCU
rnacentral:piRNA from 1 species